rnacentral:rRNA from 1 species
GACGAACGCUGGCGGCGUGCUUAACACAUGCAAGUCGAACGAUGAAGCCCUUUCGGGGGUGGAUUAGUGGCGAACGGGUGAGUAACACGUGGGUAACCUGCCCUGUACCCUGGGAUAAGCCUUGGAAACGAGGUCUAAUACCGGAUAUGACCUGCUCUCGCAUGGGGGUGGGUGGAAAGUUUUGGCGGUGCAGGAUGGACCCGCGGCCUAUCAGCUUGUUGGUGGGGUGAUGGCCUACCAAGGCGACGACGGGUAGCCGGCCUGAGAGGGCGACCGGCCACACUGGGACUGAGACACGGCCCAGACUCCUACGGGAGGCAGCAGUGGGGAAUAUUGCACAAUGGGCGAAAGCCUGAUGCAGCGACGCCGCGUGAGGGAUGACGGCCUCGGUU